UAUAGAGAGAGAGAGAGAGAGAGAGGGGUGUGGUAGUGCCGACACAAAUAAAGAGGAUUUGUAUCGAGACAAUAUCCAAAAAAGAAAUUCAAACAUCUCGCUUCAUACAUAUAAAUGGUAUGUUUUAUAAAAUAACUAAGAUAUUAUAACACAUGUAAGGUCAUAGUUUGUAGCACAUGCUGUGGUCCUCAAUAUUCCCCAUGCACUAGUAGAAUCAAUAAAUUUUUGGACCUAUAACAUUAACUCGUUGAUUUGAGGGUCAAAACACUACCCACAUCUAAAUCUCCACAUGUCACUCUCACAAUCAUUUAGAUGAUAAUGCUUCAAUUUUUUGGUUGAAAAAAAAAAAAUUUGUAAACCUAGGUAUUAAAUUAAAUUCAGUGAUUCUAAUAAGAAAAAAAAAAAAUAGAGAAUGACAAAAAUUAAGCUCCUUUUAUAGUAUUGCUCAAUUGCUGGCCUUUUCUUUGUUAUAUGAUCACUACCAUCAGUGUCCAAAUUAGAGAUGUCAAUGUGUCGGAUUCGGGGCGGAUUUUCAAUAAUUCGAAUCCGAACCCGACUCCAAACCCGAGAUCCAAACCCGAAUCCGAACCUAAACCUGAUAAAAAAUUCGAAAUCCGAACCCGAACCCGAACCCGAAAAUUCGAACCCGAAACAAUUAUUUCUUUUUUCAAUAUUUCAAAAUAUAUUACAUUAAAUCUAAAUUUUUAAAAUACAAAUUUAAAUAUAACAUCAAAUUUUUAUAUGUAUAUUAUAUAUAGUGCAAAAUAAAUUCAGGUUCAUGUCGGGUUCGGAUCGGGUACAGUCAAAAUCCAUAUCCUAAUCUAUAUUCGUCGGAUUUUUAUUUUUGAUAUCCAUAUCCAAAUUCAUAUCCAUUUAGCAUUGAAUAUAUCCAUUCCAUUCGAGUUCGGGUUCGGAUAAAAUUUUGAGUAUCCGACAUCCCUACUCCAAAUCUCUCCCCAUACUAUUCUUAAAUAUUUAGAUUUCUGGCAAUAUUUCAAAAUUGAUAUAUUUUUUAGCAUAUAAAUUAAACUGCAAAAAUUCUCUUACAAAGUUUGAAUUUAUAUAAACAAUUGUGAAAAUCCUAUUUGAGAACCGUUUGGUAGGUAUUAAGGGAAAUCUAAUGCUAUCAUGUCAAAAAGAAUUGGUUUCUUUAUUUUCCAAUAAAAUCGCAGAAAUAUUAAUACUUUAACUAAACCGUUGAUCUGAAAAGUGUAUUAUUUGUUACGAAAAUAAAUAAUGUAUUUUUCUAUUAUACUUUUGAGCCACACAUACAACACAAAUAUCCUGCAUUUCCAAAACAAAAGUAUUAGGUUGAAGGUCUCUAUGCGAAGAGUUCUAUUGUACAUUUGCUUCUGGUUUUGGCCAAAACAUAAAGUAUAUAUAUGCAGAGUUGCUAAAAGCCUAUUAAGUUUUAUAUACAUAACGUUAUGUUAACAUUUAUAUUCGACAAAACCAAACAUCAAGUAAAGACAAAUAUAAAUAGUAACAUCUUUUAAGGAAAAAAAAAAAGCAAAUAAUCCAUUCAUUUCGUUUGGAGAUAAACUCAACUAAAAAUAUUAUCAAACUAUCAAGUUCUUAACCAACUGUGUAAAGGAGGAAUCCAAUAUCGGAUAAGCGUCACCAAUUUGGACGUCUCAAAGCAUCUAACGUCGAAUGUUUGUUUCAUUUGAAUUACAUUUAAUCGUACUACCGACAACCACGUUUUCAAUAACUAUUUAAACUAUUGCAUGUCAAAAGUAUGUUCCAAAUAACAUCAAUUGCUUAUAUCAUUUUCAACGUGCAUGGAAUUAUGAAUUAUUCGAAUCUCUCUCUCAUUGAUUUCGAGAACUGUAGACGUAUCCAAUGCAUGUUAGGAAGUUUCACUAGAAAGUUUUGAUCCAGCUCAAAUUCACAUGCAUGUGCAUGAGUCAAAAGAUAUAAAAUAUCUAAAAGAAAAUCAAUAAGAUUCAAUCCAAAAGCUUAAAUCCACAACUAACUCAAUAGCUACAGAUGAUUCGGAUUCAUCAAACUAUCAACUUUGAUAUUGAUAAUUAGGUUUUUGUAAAUGUAACUCAAUUAAUUAAUCAUUUAAGUUUAAAUUUACUAUAAAUAAAAGUAAAUCCUAACAUAUAAAGGGAUGCUUGAUGUGGUAAGUUUUAUUUCUUUUUAUGUAUUUAAAUUAAAUAAAAUUCUAAUCAAACUUUAAUGAGAAGUCGAUCUGGAGUCUAAAUAAUAAGUGAAUUGUCACGCCCCAGAAAUGUCUCCAAUUCAAUUAACACUACAACAAAAACGGUCUAUAGCGACACUUUUAAGUGUAGAUACAUGUCAAAAAAGUGCUGCUAGCUAAAAUUACCGACACUUUUAAAAAGUGUUGCUAUAUGUGGGGUCGCUAGGUAUAUAGUGACAGUUAAAGAGUGUCGCUAUAACUUAAAAGAGUGCUGCUAAUUUACCAACAACUUAUUUAAGCAUUUAGCAACCGCCGAAACUCUAUCUCGUUGGCUGCGGUGGCGGAGGAGGAUGACAGGAAUAACUCUUCGUCUAGAAUUUCAGUAGAUUGAGUGAAGAGAGAAGAAAAUAUGGUAAUUGAUUUUUCUUUUUUUCUUUUUUUUCUUUUUUGUUUGUAAUCGGGCCAAAUGGACUGGGUGUGGUGGGUUGAGUAGAGUAAUCUUUUAUUUUUUGUUGGAUUGGGCUUUAUAUUUAGGCAUUAGUAGAUGUGUUUUUAAGUUUUAGCAUAAAUGGGACACUUACUCAAAAGUGUCCCAAACAUGUGUCCCUAUAACCUAAUUCUGUUGUAGUGUAAGGACUGUAGAAAUUAAAAUGCUGAUGCCCUGGAGGCCAAUAGACAGCGACAGAUAGCUAGUUUGAGACUAUAACUGUAUUCCGGAUGCUAUGAGAGUGUUAUCAUAAUCUGUUUGAUCACCAUAUUUAAUUAUAGUUGCUAAGAUUAUAUCAUAAAAAUCCAUCAAUUUCUACAAAAACUUAUAAAAAAUAAUGCAAUUUUUCCUAUUUGUUGAGAUCCAGUAUAUCAUAUGAAUUGUUGCUAGCAUCUUCUUAUAUGUAUUUUAGUAAAAUAUUAUCAUCUUUUUCAAUGAAAAAGUAUCUGAGAUAGGAAGAGAAAUCAGUUUGUCCAAAUUCGAAUAGUGACAUUCAUAUUAUAGUUGGAUUUUACACUUUCGCAGAUUGCUUAAUAAAUUCUCUUCUAUGGCACUCAUGUUCAUAUUGCAGUCAGAUUUUAAGCUUUCGUAGAUUGAUCAAAAUUUUCUCUUCUAUGACACUUUGCGAGAUUUAUUUUAUUCUAUUUAUCAUUCUGAAUAGGGAAAACUCCAAAUACCCCCCUUGUGGUUUCAUUCUUUCUCAAUUUAGUACCAUGUGGUUUAAAGUGUAUCAAAUUAGUAUCCUGUGGUUUUGCACUUUCUCACUUUAGUACCCUGUGGUUUCACAUUUUCUCAAUUUAGUGCCCCUGUGGUUUAAAAACCACAGGGUACUAACCUAAUACAAAAAUAAAACCACAUAGUAUUAACUUGAUAUACUUUAAACCACAGGGUACUAAAGUGAGAAAGUGCGAAACCACAGGGUACUAACUUUAUACACUUUAAACCACAUGGUACUAAAAUGAAAAAGUGCGAAACCACAGAGGUUUUUUUUGAAGUUUUCCCUUCUGAAUAUAUAUAUAUAUAUAUAUAUAUAUAUAUAUAUAUAUAUAUAUANUCAUUGGUGCUUGUAAGUUUUUAGCCCUUGGAUUAAGGAAUGUGCGGUUAUGAUGAUGUGGGCCCCUUAGGGUUGAGUGGGUGGUUGGUUGAAUAGUAUAAUCUAACGGAUGAAAAUGAUCCGAGGCGUAGAUCUAACGGUAAAAAAUUUACAAGCACCAAGUGCUUGGUUCUUUUACAAGCACCAUAGCCGGACUCUAUAUAUAUAUAUAUAUAUAUAAGUUGGAAUACUAUCAAUAACACCAAGCUAUUGGUGCUAUUAGGUUUUCGGCUCUUGAAGGAAAAAAUAUACAGUUAGAAUGAUGUGGGCCCUCUAAGGUUGAGUGAGUGGUUGGUUGAAUAGUAUAAUCUAACGGAUAAAAAUAAUGAGAGGGUUAAAUCUAACGGUGGAAAACUCGAUAGCACCAAAUCCUUAGUGCUAUCGAUAGUACCCCAGCCGGACACUCUCUCUCUCUCUCUCUCUCUCUCUCUCUCUCUAUAUAUAUAUAUAUAGUUUUAUUAUUUUUACAUGCCAAUUGAGAUCUAUCAUAACAAAAUAUGCCCAAGGAUGAAAACAAAAGGUUAAACCUAUUAUGCCUGGUUCAUUAAUAUAUAUCAAUCAUCUUCUUUCUUAACUAAUUAUUCGAUGUUGAAUACCGACCGUCCCUAGAGUAAGUGGCAAAGGGCUUGGUGGUUGGUACCCGAGACUCAAGUUUGAAUCCUACUUGAUUCACAUUUCUAGCUAAGUUUAUUUCUAAAUAAAAUAAACGAAGCGAGUAGCGUGCUACCUAUCUCUCUCAAAAAAUAAUAAUAAUAAUAAUUCGAUGUUGAAUUAUUUACACUAGGCUAGUAUACAUACUAUCGGUAGCACGAAGCCCUCCAUACUACCAAGUUAUUUUUAAUGAUGCGGCUUCCAAAUCGACAGUCGGCUCUAUUAGACUUGAUCUACACUAUUAAAAAUAUUUAGAAAGUAAAUUUAAUAAUUUUUAGACAUCAUUUGGCUAGUGAUCAAAAGGUCUCAAAAUUGACAAUUUUAAUGGUAGAUGUGAUGCAUUUGUGAGUUUAAUGGUAUAAAACAAUCAAAAUCUGAUGAUUUUUUUUUUUUUAGAGAGAGAUAGGUAACACGCUACCCACUUCAUUUAUUUCAUUUAGAAAUAAACUUAGCUGGAAAUGUGAAUCAACUAGGAUUCGAACUUGGGUCUCGGGUACCAACCACCAAGUCCUUUGCCACUUGCUCUAGGGAUGGUCGGUAUCUGAUGAAAUCUUUAUAGAAAAUUUUUUUCACUAUUUAGGGGCUGUUUGGUUGCAUGCAUUUCCAACUGCAUUGCAGUUGGAAAUGCGUAUUCAUCUAUAAUUUUUUUGUUUGGUUUGGUGUAGUUAGGCCCAACUGCUGCAAUUGCAUCUGCAUGAGAAGGUCCAACUGCAGCAGUUGAGCAGGAAUCGGCUUACUCAUUAAAAAUAUAAGCAAAGUGUGAUUUUUUUUUUUCAUACGCUAUUUUUUCUUUUUUCUUUUUUUCUCAAAAAUACGUAUUCAUGAAAUUUGAUAGGAUUUAGUAAUGCCUGUUAGGGUCAAUAAAUUUUUUUCAUAUGCUUCUUAUUUUUCAGUCUGCUAGUUUAAUAGUAUCUUAAUUUUUAUUUUGAUCAAAUUUAUAAUAUAUUUACAUUUAAAAUUUAUUAAAAUUCAUACAUAAUUUUAUAAUAUAUAAAUUAUAUAUAAAUAUAAAAGUCUUAAUUAAUAAUUAAAAUACGAUUACGUUAUGCUCAGAAGAGGUAAUCUCACAUUUCUAUCUAAAAAUUCAUAAAAUUUACAAAUACAAAUCUCAACUGCAGACUACCAAACAGAAGAAAUAUAACUGCAGCAGCUGCAACUGUAUAAAACCAAACAGACUAUGUAUAGUUAUGACUACAGCAUUUAAAACUACAUGUACUUCCAAUUACACUGUUUUUGAAACUACAUCCAACCAAACGGCCCCUUAGAGUAAGAUCAAUAUCUCUAACCAUAAAUUCAAGUCUUUUAUCAUCAUUUUUAUGAGAUUUUUUUUUCAGCCGUUCAUUUUUACACUAUUUGUUUGAUAGAUAAAUGAUGUCGAAAAAUUAUGAAAUUUAGUUUUUAAAUACUUUCAAUAGUAUAGAUCAAGUUUAACGGAGCCUAUCGUCGAAUUGGAAGCUACACCAUUGAAAAUAAUUUGGUCGCAGAGCGUUUCGUGCUACCGAUAAUAUACCAGUCUAACUCUUAUUUACACAAUGAAGUCCUAACAUAUGAUAAUACAGGAACAAUUUCAAAUAUGCACCUCAAAGGUUAUAAAAAAUCAUAUAUAUAUAUAUAUAUAUAUAUAUAUAUAUAUAUAUAUACAUAGAGAGAGAGAGAGAGAGAGAGAGAGAGUCCGGCUACUAUACUAUUGAUAGUACCAAGCCCUUGGUACUAUUGAGUUUUCUACCGUUAGAUCUAUCCUUUGAUCAUUUCCACCCGUUAGAUUAUACUAUUAAACCAACCACCCACUCAACCCUAGGGGACCACUAUUAAUUUAACCGGGGACCACUAUCAUCCUAACCGCACAUCCUUUCAUCCAAU
rnacentral:lncRNA from 1 species